GCAAAACCACCAGUGUUGAUUUUACAGAGUUCGCUACUCUAGAGUGGUCAGGUGUUAGUUGUAGUGUUCGUUUAUAAUGUAUCAUCACUCACAGUGUCAGAAACUUCCACAAGGGGGUGUUGCUUUCCAGUGUUCCAAUAAUUACGUUUGCGGGGAGUUAAGAUUCACGCCACGCCCCUUCUUUCUGAAGCGGGAAAGUCAGUUACUCAGCAUCGACCGACCUGGACUCACGUUACUGAGGUUUGGAACAUGCUGCUGAAGUUGGUUACCAGGGCUCCAGGAAAUGUAUCAAACUGCAGGAUUGAUUUAUUUUUGCUCAUUAGUGAAGGUGAUUUUUUUUCACUGUUCAUUUAUUUGUUGCUUCCUUACAUAUAUAAAUUUGUGUUUUGUCAUAGGUGGUAAGCCAAACUGACUGUGGACUAACGUAUGCAUUGUUGAUGACACUGAAAUCGAGGAAGACAUUUUGCAAGAUGUGCUGCUUACAGCUAGAGGACAAAAUGAAGAUGCAACAAGCAGCUUCUGCCACUGUCAUUUACCAUCUGAACUUGACCAAAGUCGUUCCAAGAAAUCUAAGACAACAGAUGACUCCAUGACCGAGGAAGACUCCUACAAGGAACCAGUGAGAGCAUCAUAGACUGUGAUAGUGACAUGGCAACACUGCUUUUACUGCUCCAUCUCCUUCCACCAUCACCUCAAGGGAAUCAGUGCAUCAGAUUUGCAGUGAGCAGGCUUGUGGUGUAUCAUAAGUCUUGUACCAGCCUUGAAGAACAUCUUCAGCAACGAGUAGGAUGACAACUGUACCUUACUGCUGUUGGCAGGAUCUGCGGCCAGAUUUGAGAACUUUGACGUGGCUUUUGAUAAGAAUCUCACCCCGUCAGUCGGAAGGCUCCCUUUUAGCAUUUGACUUUGUUUUUAAUGUAAUGUAUGAUGAUGGACUCCUUCACUUUCAAAUUUAAUCAAACAACAGUUUACAUGUUGGGAAAACUAGAGAUUGAGAGCUGAGAGCAAACUUUUUUUUAACUAGCUGGUAACUAGUAUGUAGUAUCUCAUUUAAGGUUUCAGCAUGCAUUUUAUCCUUGCCCAAAUUUCAAUUAAUAUGUGCUGAAGAAAAUUGUGAUUACUUUUGUGAUGUAUUGUUUUACAGAAUGUUUAGUGAAAGAUUUGCUGUGAUUUGCCCUAGAUGUGUGUCAGACAUGGAUUUUAACACUUAUUCAGUUUUAUUUAAACUCCUUGGCAAAAUUGAAAGGACUGUAUACAUAACCACUUUCUGAAAAUGUUGAAAAAGUUCACAAGUGAUACUUUAUUUUUUUUUAUAAAUAUUUAAUAAUGUCAAAUAAAUUUGUUAAAUAAAUUUGUGGUCAAUAA